rnacentral:rRNA from 1 species
AUUGAACGCUGGCGGAAUGCUUUACACAUGCAAGUCGAGCGGCAGCGCGGGGGCAACCCUGGCGGCGAGCGGCGAACGGGUGAGUAACAUAUCGGAACGUACCCCGUCGUGGGGGAUAACACAGCGAAAGCUGUGCUAAUACCGCAUACGACCUGAGGGUGAAAGCGGGGGACCGUAAGGCCUCGCGCGAUGGGAGCGGCCGAUAUCGGAUUAGCUUGUUGGUGAGGUAAAGGCUCACCAAGGCGACGAUCCGUAGCUGGUCUGAGAGGACGACCAGCCACACUGGAACUGAGACACGGUCCAGACUCCUACGGGAGGCAGCAGUGGGGGAAUUUUGGACAAUGGGGGCAACCCUGAUCUAGCCAUUCCGCGUGAGUGAAGAAGGCCUCGGUUGGUAAGUA